CAGUCCUUAUCCCCAGGAAAGAAAGACUGGAAGCUUUGGCUUUGUGGUGCAGUUUGUGGACCAGGUUUGGCACUCUAUGGGCAGCAAGAGCUUUCUGUGCUGGCAUCUUGUUCUGGGAGUAAUCUUUGUUUGUGCGCAAUUAUGGAUUUCGUGCUGGCAUUUGGGAAGCAGGUCUGAAAACAGGAAACAACAACCCUUAUUGCCAGGUAAGAAAGACUGGAAGAUUUGGC